GGGUUGGUGGCACAGUCGGCUGGCGCGUAGGUCUCAUUACUAAUAUGAGUCAUCCUGCGGUCGAGAGUUCGAGCCUUUCUUUACCCA
rnacentral:tRNA from 1 species